rnacentral:lncRNA from 1 species
UUUUGCAUCACAUUCAUAUGUUUUAUUAUGUUUUGUGUUGCUAUAGAUGCUUUUGCGGUUGUCUCGCUUAUGUGUAGAGUGAGAUGCUAUAGUUUUGUCCAAUUAGAAUCUCUUCUAGGCAUAGAGUUUGUUUGUUUAUAAUUGUUGCGCUUCAGCGCGUUUUUUGCCCGAAAGCUAUCCCGGAAGGACUUACAGACUGGAAGUAAUAAAAUAGGUCAAGGGUCUAAUUCCAAGGGGAUACGUUUAAUUCUGAAAGAGCAGUAGCUAAUUAAAUGUUUGGUAAAGCCGCCACACCUCUCAUCUUCAGUUUAAUUGUGAAGGAACAAUGAAAGAUAAGGGGAAUACAUGAAUUAUGAUUCCAUUGCUUGCUUGAUAAAAUUUUGUUUUGAUUUUUCUGCAAUCUAGUUUUGAUUUUUUGUUCUUGCAUGCAGUUGUUGUUAAGAUUUCUACUUUGCUGGGUGGCUGAUUGCUUUAAUUUUUACCAACUUAUUUGUCAAAAUAUGUAGGUCCACACAUUCGAGAAAGCAUGUGCAGCAGUUUAUCCAAGUACCGUCCAGCAUGACAUCGUAUGGUUUUGGCCAAAUAUUGCUCCUCGGUACAAGGAUAUUAUCAAGACUAAGAAACCUCCUCACAUCCCGGAACUAGAUGACCCGUCAUUCACAAAAUUGUUUGGGAACAGAGAUAUACCUUAUGGGUAUGCAAUGAUCCAGUCUUCCAUUUUAAUUUGAGCGAGUUAGCACACGAAAUUCUAGAUUGAAUUUGUACUAUACUGAUAUUUGGCAAGAGUCAUUAAGAAAACUAGUUGAACUUAAGUGUAAUGACAACCUGGUCAAUGCAAGUUAACAACUUUUUCUAAUUGCAAGUAAGUUGCAUUUUCAGUUAUGAGGUCUUAUUGGAAAAUCUUAUGGACCCUGCUCAUGUUCCAUAUGCACAUUACGGAUUGAUGCGUACAAGGAAACCCAAAGGUUGAUAAAUUCCUAGAUAAACCUUGUUCUACGUUUAAGUCAUUUAUAUUCUCUUCGUGAAUAAAACCUAUUAGUUAAUACUAAAUUUUCUUUACAGUGAAGCUCGAUAGAGAAGGGGGAAGACCAGUUGAAAUGAGUGUCAAUAAAAUAGACAUAAAUGGUUUCAUUGGAAAGCAGGAGUGGGGAAGUAGCAAAUUUUUGGCACCUUGUAUCUUUUUUGCUUAUACUGAUCUUAUGAAGGAUCAAGAAAAUGGAUCUGCAUCAUCAGCAGGAGCCGAAAAGGUAAAGGUCAAUAUGUUUCAUUAUGCUCAGCUGACAGUAGAAUUUUGCACUCUUUUCAGUUCUUAUUCUAUGCUGUUUGGGCUUUCUUUUAUCCAUAUACAUUUCGGUUGGUGCAGAAGCUGGAGCAACAAAGAGCAGCUCUGAUUUUUAUUUGUGUUCCAGUUAGUCCUGGUCACAGCAGAUUAAUAUGGGCGUUCCCAAGAAACUUUCAAACUUGGAUAGACAAAGUUGUUCCGCGGUGGAUAUUUCAUAUUGGACAGAAUCUAAUUCUUGAUUCAGAUUUAUACCUGCUUCACGUUGAGGUGAUUCCUGUCUCUGUAUGCUAAAAUAAUUUUAACCUAAAGUUUUUUGAAAAUGCUGAGUGGAUUGGCGUUCAAGUCUACUGCUAGUCUAGGCCUCAAACUCAGAUUUGAGACUCGUCGACCAUUUCAUUUUACUAGAUUGGUUGUGACACCAUCCAAAAAGCAUAUUUUUGUUUUUCUUCUCAAUAGAAGGUAUUCACUUAAAUACUACUCUCCUACAAUAGAAGAAUUUAAUAGAUUCUUUCUUGUUUCUGGCUGUGAAUUACCUGACUUCUGUUUCUCUCUGCAGGAGCGAAAGAUAAUGGAUGUUGGCCCUGCUAAUUGGCAGAAAGCUUGUUUUGUGCCAACAAAAGCCGAUGCCCUGGUAGUUGGUUUCAGGAGGUGGUUAAAAAAAUAUGCCGGUGGCCAAUUCAAUUGGGGAGGGAAAUUCAAUGCGACUCUUCCACCAACACCGCCCAGGGAACAGCUCAUGGACAGGUAUCUGGGCUUCACUUUUAUAAACUUGAACCCCUUAACACCAUGUCAUGGGAUUUUACAGUAGUUCCCAGUUUUGAAACUCAUAUAAAGAGCAGAGGUUUAUGGAUAUUUAAAAGAAGCAUUAUUUGUUUCUUCAAGCUUGAGAAACAUUUUCUUUUGUGUUUUGCCAAAUUUCUUAUGCAAUGCCUUGAAAACGGGAACACUGUGAAGUUUGUUGUGACCCCAUUAAAACAUAAGAUUUCGUACUUAAUUAAAGGAAUUUUAUUCAAAUUUGCAGGUACUGGUCUCAUGUGGUGAAUUGCAAAAGUUGCAAUGCGGCACACAAGAGUCUCAGCGCACUUGAGGUCACGCUACAAGUCGUCUCCAUUGCUUCAAUUGGGAUUGUUGCUACAACCAAGCAGAAUGCCAUGUCAAUGGCUACAAGAACUACAAUCAUCUCAUUUGCAGUAAUCUGCUUUGCGGCUUCAAAAUGGUUGUCUCACUUCAUCUACAAAACCUUUCAUUAUCAUGACUACAAUCAUGCCCUUCGCUGAGCUUAGCAUUUAACGUCGAAAAUUAGAAUAUGUAAAUACAACUUAUUUUUCUGUACGUAAAUACUGGAAUGUAGCUUGUAUGCAAACAUUUUGAUCAAGUGAAAUUAGAAAGUGCAGUUGUAAUAGAAAACAUAUAAUUAUCAUCACCAUUAGCAGUUGUAAUUGUAAGUACAUUAUCAUCACCAUUAACAAUUGCAAGAGAAAACGUAUACACAACUGAACCACGGCUUCAGAAUGAACACAAGAAGAACAUUUUUACUAGUUUUCACAAUGGUAUCUAGUGAUGUUGGUGGGUGAUUUGGACACAGUGUCAUACGCCAUGAAUAUAAAAGGCUAAUUUGAAUCAAUUGCGAGAAAUCAAUCCACAAUUUAAAGAAUUAGUUGUUUUGUUUUUCAAUAAUUUCAUAAGAUUAGAAUUUCACUACUUCAUAUAAUUAGAAUCCUAACACAUAUUCUAUUAAAAAAAGUUCCUAACACCCAGGUUGAUAAAAUUAUACCUUUCUUAAAUAAAAUUCCAUUGUUUAAAUAAUUAAAAAAAGAAAUCCCAAAACAAAAUUGUGACCUUAAUAAUUACUCUACAAAAUUUUUGCAAAAGUCUAACUCAUUACACACUAAUUUACUCCAAUUGAUAAUUUUCUUUUCCUUCCGUUAUCAUGUGUAGUCUCAAUAUUUUCUAACCCAUCAAAAUUAGUUAGUUCAAUAUUGACAUUCUUCUCCUAAAAAUAUGUAUUAUUAUAUUUACUAGCAUAUUAAUUAGAUGGUUAAAUAUCACCAUCAUUUGGUACAAAACCCAUAGAUGGCGCAACAAUAUCUUUAAACAAAAUUUCUAAUUGGUCAACAUUUCUCAAGCCUUUAUAACGAAUUUUAAUUGUUUUGAGAAUCUCCUACAAUAAUACAAAAGGAUUAUGUGUUAAAAAUAUGUCUAAAUUGCUCCUAAAAUCAUUUCCUAGUACACCAAAAAAUAAGAAGGUUAGAAUUUGCAACUUCAAUCCUCUCUCCCAUCAGUCAUCGCUAGUAGUAUUUGUCUGUUUUACAACAUCCCAUCCUAAACCAAUUUCAUUCUCAGCAAGUUUGUCCAAAGUUGCCAAUCUAUUUUAGGAUGUCCCACUUAUUUUUCAAUGUUUCUAUUCAUAAUCUCCAUUGGUCAUAGAAUAAAAAUUAGCAACGAGACUUUUCCACCCAAUCAUAUUAAAGUGACUAUUUGGUUUGAUUCCAAGCUAAUGUCUCACUCAUACAAAUCUUAAUAAAAGCACCAGUGGUAACAUCAUCCCAAUCUGCCUUUGAUUUACUUUUCCUUUGCAACAGUAACGAUUCUAGACAAAGGAUAUGUAAUAUUAUUACAUGAAAAACAUAAUGCACAAAUAAAAUGAAGAUGAAAUGAAUUUCAAAUAUAAAUUAAUAAUUGGCAUGCAUUCUUGAAUAAGAUAAUAAAAAGAAGAAUGAAAACUGUAGCAAGUAUCAAAUAUCAAAUAGUAGCAUAGUGAAAUGUGUUCAUCAUAUUUCUAAUAAACUAGAUUUAUUUUAACAGUGAUGAGGGAAACAUCGAUGCCUGCUAUGCACCUCACCAAAGUUGUGACAAUGAGUUUUCUAUCAAAUGAUGGCAAUAAUUUAUUUUGUGUAAGGUUUUGUAUAAAAUAAGUAAAGCGGCGGCAAUCUCAUUAGAACCAAAAAAAAAGAGAAGUAGCAGCAGUUAGUUUUUUAUCAAAUGGUGGCAAUUAAUUGUUAUUAUGUAGGUUUUAUAUAUAAAUAAGGGUAUUAUGUAAUUAAUGAAAUGUUCUUCAGGAAUUGUUGAUAUAUAUAUAUGUAUUUAAAAGUUCUUUAAUCUCCAUUCAUAAAAGCUCAAAUUCCAGAUUUUGUUAAUGGAGGCAAAUUAACUUAUUUGAACUGAAAAAGAUAAACUAAAAAAACACUAAUAACUAAUUUAAAAAGAGCUUAUAAAAUUAAAUAAGUACUUAUAGCCGUUAGAUAAAUUAUACCAAACAAAUAUUUUAAAGGAAAGCUGAGUCUAUAUACAUUUUAUUCUUUUCCUAAAUUUAUAAAAUAGUUAUUGGACUACUUCUGCUACUGUUUUUUUUAGUUGAUCUCAUUCCUUAUUCAAUUGGCUGUUGAUAUAUAAAUUUCCAUUAUCUUUUCUCGAUCUUUUUUCUUUACUAGAAGACUGUAAAAGCAUGAAUCGAAAUCCAACGACAAUGUCCUUUUAAUAUUCUUGCUUGAAGAUAUAAGAAAAAAAUAGAUUAAAGAACUUCUAAGUAGGUGUAUAUAAGAAAGAGUUAUGCUACAAAUAUACAAUUGGAAUAAAUAAUUUACACCCCAAAUGAUAUGAACAAUGAUGUGUCAACAUUUAAUUGGUGAUGUAAUAUUAUCUUAUCAAUAAUGAAAGCUAAAACCAAUUGGCGCCUAAGAGGCUAAGACAUGUCAAUUAAUUGCUAAUGACACAUUACUAAUGAUACAAAGUAUAUAUUUACUUAAGAAAAUGGUGGAAAUUGACAAAUGAGAUGGUCUACUUUUAGCCUUUGAUGAUUUCUAUCCAAAAUCUGGCGUGGGCUCCGCAGCCGAGCCCACACCAGCGACUAUUUGGGUCUUCAAUGUAAAUGAGCAAAAGUUAUAGAGAAGAAAAAAAAAGAAAAGAAAUUUAUUUCAAUUUAUGAUAUGUUUUGAUUAGCAAUGCUAGUUCAUGUAAUGUCAUUUCAAAAGAAAAGUCACACCUGCUAAUUCAAUUUUUUUUUUAAUUUCUGAGAGGAAUUUAAAACUUUAAUUAUUAGGUGAUAUUUUCAUUUACCAUGAUAUUACUAGUAAUGUUGAAUCGUAUCAUUAACUACUUAAUAUGGUCGGUGACUUAACACAUACGAUACAUUAUUUCAACAUAAUUUAUAGUAAAAAUAGUCCAUUAUCUUAUGCAUGUCCUACAUGACUAAGAUAAUAGAAAUUAAUUUUAGUCAAUUUUGACCAAAACAAGUCAAGUUUUUAUUUUUGAAAUUAAUUUUAGUCUAAUUAGUUAAACAUACGCUUCCAAAAUAAUUCAUUUAGUUGUAACUAAAAACCAUCUCAUUUAUAUAGUCAACAUUGUUGCCCAUAAAAUUAAAAAGUUCAUAAUUUCGCAUGUCUAAUAUUAAUUCUCAAGGAAAAAUGCAAUUCACCCAUUAAUUUAGGUGUAACUUAACCAUGAAUAAUGCAUGUACGCUAGUAAAGAGAUGCAAAAAUGUUCUUCAUACAGAAUGUUUUCCAUAAAUAUUACAAAAUAUAAAAAAAAAUGUAAAAUGUUUGUUUUAAAGUGCCAAAAGAAAAUUAAUAAAAAUUCAACAAAACUUAUAAAUCGAGUAAAUGCGUCGCCUUACACAAACAUAAUUAUAAUUUGAUAAAAUUAUGCUUUUUUCUUAAAUAAAAUUCCAAUUUUCAAAUAAUAAUAAUAAAAAAAAAGAAAUCCUAAAACAUAAUUUUGACCUUAACAAUUACUCUACAAAUAUUUUGCAAAAGCUAGCCAACUCAUCUCAUUAUCCUCAUACAUGAACAAAUAAAAAUUGAAUCUGGUAUUGAGGGGACGUGCUCUUUUUUUCCGGCGAAUUUUCGAUGGCAGAUAAUCUACGGAGGCUGUUUAGCAUAGUGAGGAGCCUUGGCCCCCGUAGCAGUCAAAUAAAACGGCUUAGCUAUUGAAUAAUUUUGUGGCAUCCAUUCACACUACUUGUAUAGCGCUAUUAAAUCACUCAACGACUCCUGACUUAUUCAGUUGGACUCAACAAAUGUUGACUGAUUCAACUACAAGGAAAUGAAAUGAAAGACACAAACAUAAGAGACGCAUUAAUUUAUGUUGGACUUUUCAGCGUCACGGUCAGAGUCCACUGAUCAUGACUCAUGUGGCGCACGUUCAUUCGCAAUUAGCUAUAAUUAUCUCGAGUUCUAACCUUGCUUGAUCUCGAUUUUUGUGCAGAGUAAGGUGUUGCAUGCAGCCAUGGAAGCUCUCUUACUCUCCUCAGUUUCACCAUUUUAUAACACUCCAUUAAAACUUAAGUACAACAGAACCCACUUCACUGCUAAGCCCAAGCUCUUAAGCUUCCACUUCAGUCCACUAUCCACUUUAUCAUCUUUCUCAUCAAAACCAUCCAAACUCUUCACCACCUUAUCACCAUCAUCUCAAGUUUCAACUGAAGCCACAGACCCACCAGAGACAGAGCCUGAAACUAACUCACAAGAGGAAAAAUUUGAUUGGUUCUCACAGUGGUAUCCAUUGAUGCCGGUGUGUGAUUUGGACAAGAGAGUCCCCCAUGCAAAGAAAGUGUUGGGGCUUGAUGUCGUGGUUUGGUGGGACAGGAAUGAGAAUGAAUGGAGAGUCUUUGCCGAUGCUUGUCCUCACAGAUUGGCUCCUUUGUCAGAAGGAAGAAUUGAUCAAUGGGGACGGCUUCAGUGUCCGUAUCAUGGCUGGUGCUUCAGUGGCUCGGGUGACUGUAAAUUUAUCCCUCAGGCUCCCCCAGACGGCCCCCCGGUAACAUCGAUUGCUUCACUUUUGCAUCACAUUCAUAUGUUUUAUUAUUUUUUAUGCUGCUAUGUAUGCUUUUGCGGUUUUCUUGAUUACGUCUAGAGUGAGAUGCUACUUCCUUGCUAUAUUUUGGUCUAAUUAGAUUCCCUGAAGGACUAAAAGACUGGAAGUAAUAAAAUAGGUCAAGGGCCUAAUUCCAAUGGGAUACGUUUAAUUCUGAAAGAACUGUAGCUAAUUUAAUGUUUGAUAAAGCCACCACACCUCUCGUCUUCAGUUUGAUUGUGAGGAAACAACGAAAGAUAAGCAGAAUACAUGAGUUAUGAUUCCAUUUCCUGCUUGAUAAAAUUUUGUAGUGAUUUUUCUGCAAUCUAGUAUUGAUUUUCGUUCUUGCAUGCAGAAGUUGUUAAGAAUUCUACUUUGCUGGGUGGCUGAUUGCUUUAAUUUUUACUGACUUAUUUAUCAAAAUACGCAGGUCCACACAUCCAAGAAAGCAUGUGCAGCUGUUUAUCCAAGUGCCGUACAGAAUGGCAUCCUAUGGUUUUGGCCAGAUAUUGCUCCUCAGUGCAAGGAUAUUAUCAAGACUAAGAAACCUCCUCACAUCCCGGAACUCGAUGACCCGUCAUUUACAAAAAUGUUUGGAAGCAGGGAUGUUCCUUAUGGGUAUGCAGUGAUCCGGUUUUCCAUUUUUAAUUUGAAAUUCCAGUUUGAAUUUGUACCAUAUUGAUAUUUGGCAACAAUCAUUAAGAAAACUAGUUGAACUCAAGUGUAAUGACAGCCGGGUAAAUGCAAGUUAACAGCUUUUUCUAAGUGUAAGUAAAUUGCAUUUUCA